rnacentral:rRNA from 1 species
UACGGGAGGCAGCAGUAGGGAAUAUUGGUCAAUGGAGGCAACUCUGAACCAGCCAUGCCGCGUGAAGGAUGAAGGCGUUCUGCGUCGUAAACUUCUUUUAUAUACCAAGAAAAGUCCAUGUGUGGAUCUAUGACGGUAGUAUAUGAAUAAGCACCGGCUAACUCCGUGCCAGCAGCCGCGGUAAUAC